GGGAGAAUGUGAGCAACGUCAUAAAAAGAGUCCUUUCAAAUAAACUUAUGUGGGGACUUAAAAUGGAUGGCGGUGGUGGAAAAGGGACCUUUCGCAGAAUGGCCCUUUGCAUGGUCAUGAUAGAUUCCAUCCAGCGGUCACAGCCUGGAGCCAGUGAAGCUGCCAUUGUGUCCCGGAUGGCGGCCUAUUUGCGCUCAGCACCAGAUAGAAAA